rnacentral:misc_RNA from 1 species
UCCGAGUUGACCCCGGCAGUCUCCUACGAGUCCCCGGCAUAACCCGCUGGCAACAUAGGACAGGGGUUGCGCUCGUUGCGCCACUUAAGGCAACACCUCACGGCACGAGCUGACGACAGCCAUGCACCACCUGUGCAGGCUCCGAAGAGCACCCGCUUUCACGGGUUUCACCCUGCAUGUCAAACCCAGGUAAGGUUCUUCGCGUUGCCUCGAAUUAAGCAACAUGCUCCGCCGCUUGUGCGGGCCCCCGUCAAUUCCUUUGAGUUUCAGCCUUGCGAACGUACUCCCCAGGCGGGGCACUUAAUGCGUUAGCUUCGGCACUGCAGGGGUCGAUACCCGCAACACCAAGUGCCCAUCGUUUACAGCUAGGACUAC